GUCAUGGGUGAAAACCCAGAGUCCCCUAUCAUACGAGGUGGCUAACCCGCAGCUUUUUGAACAGGAUAUUGGAGAGCUGGAAUUGUUCCUGUGGAAUCUGUCUGCUCUCUAUUUAUGGCAACCCGCUGCACUUCCUCUCCUGGCACUAACCUGACUCACAUGGAUGCACCAGAUUAUGCUUACUGACCAGUCUCGGAGUCGAAUCGUCUCAGAUGAACGGGCCAAAGUGGAAGUGGAAAUCUGCUGUAGUUGAGCCAGUGAGUCAGCUUACAAAGCACCCGUUUGAAGGGAAACCACAGAAAAGAACAUGACCUUUGGCAUGCACUGCGGCGGUUUCUAGCUGAGUGUGAAGAGGCCAGGAUGAGAGUCAGCACCUCCAAGUUUGAAGUCAUUGUUCGCUGCCAAAAAAACAUUGGAUUGCUCCUUCUCCGCUGUCAGAGAGUUGCUGUCUCCAGGCCUCUCGGGAUCUUGUUCACUGGUGAUGGUAAAAGAAUUAAUGGACCGUUGUGGUGAAGAGAGAGCUGGGCUGAAACAAAAAGAUUCCAAUUUACCAGUCAGUCUAUGUUCAAGGAGCUCUGGGUAAAAUCGGUAAGGAUGAGAUGGCUAAGGCCUCACAGAGCAACCAUUGGUCCCUUUAGUACUUUUACUCCCCAAUCAGUUGGAGAGUGGUUGCUCACCUUCAAACUCAAAGUUGUGGCUUACUGUACAGGGAGGUUACAUCUUAUUGGAUCCCUUCCAAACUCAUCCUGCCUUUCUACACAAAUCAAAUAGUUCUGAUUGGAUAUCCUCUUUCCAGAACAUUUUUUUCUAGUUUUUAUUCAUUGACAAAAGAGUGAAAACAUUUCAUCAUAGUUUUUGUCCUCGUCCAUUAGUUUUUAUAUAGUUAUCGUCUUGUUUUCGUCAGGAAAAAGGGUUGUUCGCAAAAAUGAUUGGUCAACAAAAUAAACACUCCCUUCUAAAAACCAAAGAAAUCGCAUGGAGGUUUUUCAGUGCAACACCCUACCAGUUUCAACUGCCAGCAACCACUUACCAAAUGGUCGAGAUAUUUUGCUUAGCAACCUGAUUAAUAAUAGUUUGAGGUGUUUCGAUAUCUGACUGGAGGUCAGAGUUAGUUUCAGGAGUUUCAGAAAUCUGGGGUGCUUUCUCAGUUCCUUCCUUUUAAGGUUUUCCAGUGAGCACAGACAUUCAAUCACAGACCCAGAUCCUACUGGAAGGAUCAAACUGCCAGCAUUUGGGGACUGCCCAGAGGGAACUGUUGCCAGGAUGGAAGUCUUAGGCUGGUACCAUGUGUGUAUAAAGGGUAUUUUUUUUUUAUGUCUGUUUAUUAUAACUUCUCUGAAGUGGAUACACUGGAGAGGGAGAGGGGAUUUUGAAGCUGGGGCACCAUAUAAGCUGUUGUUAUGAAUACAGUGUGUUUUUGUGACUGAUGAUGGACAAACUCCCCAUGACAACAACUGGCAUGUCUGCUAAUGGAACCCGACAGGUGACACAGAGCCAAUAAGACCAACAUGUCACAUCUAAACCGGCUAACAUAGAGGACACACACACACACGUUUGGAUUUCAAGCCACAUAUUUUGCCUGUGCGCACGUAGUGCUUUUAACUAACUGUGCACAGACACAACACAAACAGCCUGGCAGCGUACCACAACUGACAAAGGCGAUAGACGCUUAUCCGCAAGCACAAACACAGCCUUAUAUCAAGUGUUUGAUGACAUUUUAAUGGUAACAACCAUCUUUGUGAGGCAGGCCAGUUUCUACGACUGUUUUGAUUACUCACUCUUAGUCAUCGGCAGCAGCAGUACCGGCAGCGGCAGCAGCAGCAGCAGCAGCAGCAGCGCUGAGGCCCCAUGUGCCACAUACCAUGACAACCGCAGCAGCACAAAGAGCCCUAGCUGUGCCAAAGAGACUUGUAAAACCAAAGAAACCAAGUCUCCAAAGCCUGAAAGCCUGUGAGCAGUCAUUCAAACCAAAAGAUCUGAAGCAACAGCACCAUGAAGCUAUCCACCUACCUCCUCUGCCAUCCACUAAAAAUGUCGGUGACCAACAGGUAUGAGAUGAGCCUUUAAAGGAUGUGAUGUCGACCCCUCCUCUCCCCAGAUGGCUGUUUCCCAUACAGCGGGACCCUACCUUCAAAUGUCAACUUCAUGAGUACAUCAGUACUGACCUCGACAGUCAAGCUGUGAUUUUCCAGUGUGAUGAUGAUGAUGCAGUAUUUCUAACUGUGAAGCAGGGGGGAAAUAUCCAGUGCAAGCUGCUAUGCAUCCCCUUCUUUGCACGCUACAGACUAUGGAAACCCUUCUAUGUCUGGCACAAAAAUGUUUGUGCCAAUAAGAUUACUUUGGCCAGGGAGUCACUACAAAAAAAUUGUGUUUUGUAUUUGUAUUUUCAGAUGCAUUGAAAAAUUGUCAGAUUUUUUGAUAUGAUUGAAAUAUUCUGGUUAUGUUGAAUUUUAAUUUGAAAUUAAUAUGGGAUUUUAUUUGUAUGUUUUUAUAUGUGUCUGGAAGGCACAUAUAAAUAGGCAAUAAAUAUGAAAACGCACCCUCUUUGAAAGUUCCUUAGAUGCCAUGGCGUCAUGACAGCUUUGAAUUGACCUGAUGUAUUCCAGAUUGUAUUUGCUGCUGCGAACGUGUACUCACACAUGUUUAAGCACUUUCUGAGAAUCUACAAGGAGAAUGAAAGUUUGGAGUUGGAUGCAGUGCAGGGACAGGAUCGUG